rnacentral:rRNA from 1 species
GAUGAACGCUGGCGGCGUGCCUAAUACAUGCAAGUCGAGCGGAAGGACGAGAAGCUUGUUUCUUUGAUGUUAGCGGCGGGCGGGUGAGUAACACGUGGAUCACCUCCCUAUAUGUCUGGGAUAAUUUCGGGACACCGGCGAUUAUACUGGAUAAUAUUUUGAACCGCAGGGUUCAAAAGAGAGAGACGGUCUUGCGGUCUCUAAUAGAUGGAUCCGCGCUGCAUUAGCUAGUUGGUAAGGUAACGGCUUACCAAGGCUACGAUGCAUAGCCGACCUGAGAGGGUGAUCGCCCACACUGGAACUGAGACACGGUCCAGACUCCUACGGGAGGCAGCAGUAGGGAAUCUUCCGCAAUGGGCGAAAGCCUGACGGAGCAACGCCGCGUGAGUGAUGAAGGUCUUCGGAUCGUAAAACUCUGUUAUUAGGGAAGAACAUAUGUGUAAGUAACUGUGCACAUCUUGACGGUACCUAAUCAGAAAGCCCCGGCUAACUACGUG